UUAAGCGACUAAGCGUACACGGUGGAUGCCCUGGCAGUCAGAGGCGAUGAAGGACGUGCUAAUCUGCGAAAAGCGUCGGUAAGGUGAUAUGAACCGUUAUAACCGGCGAUGUCCGAAUGGGGAAACCCAGUGUGAUUCGUCACACUAUCGUUAACUGAAUACAUAGGUUAACGAGGCGAACCGGGGGAACUGAAACAUCUAAGUACCCCGAGGAAAAGAAAUCAACCGAGAUUCCCCCAGUAGCGGCGAGCGAACGGGGAGCAGCCCAGAGUCUGAAUCAGCUUGUGUGUUAGUGGAACGGUCUGGAAAGUCCGACGGUACAGGGUGAUAGUCCCGUACACCAAAAUGCACAGGCUGUGAACUCGAAGAGUAGGGCGGGACACGUGGUAUCCUGUCUGAAUAUGGGGGACCAUCCUCCAAGGCUAAAUACUCCUGACUGACCGAUAGUGAACCAGUACCGUGAGGGAAAGGCGAAAAGAACCCCGGCGAGGGGAGUGAAAAAGAACCUGAAACCGUGUACGUACAAGCAGUGGGAGCACCUUCGGGUGUGACUGCGUACCUUUUGUAUAAUGGGUCAGCGACUUAUAUUCUGUAGCAAGGUUAACCGUAUAGGGGAGCCGCAGGGAAACCGAGUCUUAACUGGGCGUUAAGUUGCAGGGUAUAGACCCGAAACCCGGUGAUCUAGCCAUGGGCAGGUUGAAGGUUGGGUAACACUAACUGGAGGACCGAACCGACUAAUGUUGAAAAAUUAGCGGAUGACUUGUGGCUGGGGGUGAAAGGCCAAUCAAACCGGGAGAUAGCUGGUUCUCCCCGAAAGCUAUUUAGGUAGCGCCUCGUGAACUCAUCUUCGGGGGUAGAGCACUGUUUCGGCUAGGGGGUCAUCCCGACUUACCAACCCGAUGCAAACUACGAAUACCGAAGAAUGUUAUCACGGGAGACACACGGCGGGUGCUAACGUCCGUCGUGAAGAGGGAAACAACCCAGACCGCCAGCUAAGGUCCCAAAGUCAUGGUUAAGUGGGAAACGAUGUGGGAAGGCACAGACAGCCAGGAUGUUGGCUUAGAAGCAGCCAUCAUUUAAAGAAAGCGUAAUAGCUCACUGGUCGAGUCGGCCUGCGCGGAAGAUGUAACGGGGCUAAACCAUGCACCGAAGCUGCGGCAGCGACACUAUGUGUUGUUGGGUAGGGGAGCGUUCUGUAAGCCUGCGAAGGUGUGCUGUGAGGCAUGCUGGAGGUAUCAGAAGUGCGAAUGCUGACAUAAGUAACGAUAAAGCGGGUGAAAAGCCCGCUCGCCGGAAGACCAAGGGUUCCUGUCCAACGUUAAUCGGGGCAGGGUGAGUCGACCCCUAAGGCGAGGCCGAAAGGCGUAGUCGAUGGGAAACAGGUUAAUAUUCCUGUACUUGGUGUUACUGCGAAGGGGGGACGGAGAAGGCUAUGUUAGCCGGGCGACGGUUGUCCCGGUUUAAGCAUGUAGGCUGGUUGUCCAGGCAAAUCCGGAUAAUCAAGGCUGAGGUGUGAUGACGAGGCACUACGGUGCUGAAGUAACAAAUGCCCUGCUUCCAGGAAAAGCCUCUAAGCAUCAGGUAACAUCAAAUCGUACCCCAAACCGACACAGGUGGUCAGGUAGAGAAUACCAAGGCGCUUGAGAGAACUCGGGUGAAGGAACUAGGCAAAAUGGUGCCGUAACUUCGGGAGAAGGCACGCUGGUGUGUAGGUGAAGUCCCUGCGGAUGGAGCUGAGACCAGUCGAAGAUACCAGCUGGCUGCAACUGUUUAUUAAAAACACAGCACUGUGCAAACACGAAAGUGGACGUAUACGGUGUGACGCCUGCCCGGUGCCGGAAGGUUAAUUGAUGGGGUUAUCCGUAAGGAGAAGCUCUUGAUCGAAGCCCCGGUAAACGGCGGCCGUAACUAUAACGGUCCUAAGGUAGCGAAAUUCCUUGUCGGGUAAGUUCCGACCUGCACGAAUGGCGUAAUGAUGGCCAGGCUGUCUCCACCCGAGACUCAGUGAAAUUGAACUCGCUGUGAAGAUGCAGUGUACCCGCGGCAAGACGGAAAGACCCCGUGAACCUUUACUAUAGCUUGACACUGAACAUUGAGCCUUGAUGUGUAGGAUAGGUGGGAGGCUUUGAAGCGUGGACGCCAGUCUGCGUGGAGCCAACCUUGAAAUACCACCCUUUAAUGUUUGAUGUUCUAACGUUGGCCCCUGACCGGGGUUGCGGACAGUGUCUGGUGGGUAGUUUGACUGGGGCGGUCUCCUCCCAAAGCGUAACGGAGGAGCACGAAGGUUAGCUAAUCCUGGUCGGACAUCAGGAGGUUAGUGCAAUGGCAUAAGCUAGCUUGACUGCGAGCGUGACGGCGCGAGCAGGUGCGAAAGCAGGUCAUAGUGAUCCGGUGGUUCUGAAUGGAAGGGCCAUCGCUCAACGGAUAAAAGGUACUCCGGGGAUAACAGGCUGAUACCGCCCAAGAGUUCAUAUCGACGGCGGUGUUUGGCACCUCGAUGUCGGCUCAUCACAUCCUGGGGCUGAAGUAGGUCCCAAGGGUAUGGCUGUUCGCCAUUUAAAGUGGUACGCGAGCUGGGUUUAGAACGUCGUGAGACAGUUCGGUCCCUAUCUGCCGUGGGCGCUGGAGAAUUGAGGGGGGCUGCUCCUAGUACGAGAGGACCGGAGUGGACGCAUCACUGGUGUUCGGGUUGUCAUGCCAAUGGCACUGCCCGGUAGCUAAAUGCGGAAGAGAUAAGUGCUGAAAGCAUCUAAGCACGAAACUUGCCCCGAGAUGAGUUCUCCCUGAGACUUUAAGUCUCCUGAAGGAACGUUAAAGACGAUGACGUUGAUAGGCCGGGUGUGUAAGCGCAGCGAUGCGUUGAGCUAACCGGUACUAAUGAACCGUGAGGCUUAACCU
rnacentral:rRNA from 1 species